GCAGUCGAGCGAAUCUUUGGGAGCUUGCUCCUAAAGAUUAGCGGCGGACGGGUGAGUAACACGUGGGCAACCUACCUUACAGAUGGGGAUAACUCCGGGAAACCGGGGCUAAUACCGAAUAAUCCAUUUCUUCGCAUGAAGAGAUGUUGAAAGACGGUUUCGGCUGUCACUGUGAGAUGGGCCCGCGGCGCAUUAGUUAGUUGGUGGGGUAACGGCCUACCAAGACCACGAUGCGUAGCCGACCUGAGAGGGUGAUCGGCCACACUGGGACUGAGACACGGCCCAGACUCCUACGGGAGGCAGCAGUAGGGAAUCUUCCACAAUGGACGAAAGUCUGAUGGAGCAACGCCGCGUGAGUGAAGAAGGUUUUCGGAUCGUAAAGCUCUGUUGUAAGGGAAGAACACGUACAGGAGUAACUGCCUGUACCUUGACGGUACCUUACCAGAAAGCCACGGCUAACUACGUGCCAGCAGCCGCGGUAAUACGUAGGUGGCAAGCGUUGUCCGGAAUUAUUGGGCGUAAAGCGCGCGCAGGCGGUCCUUUAAGUCUGAUGUGAAAGCCCACGGCUCAACCGUGGAGGGUCAUUGGAAACUGGAGGACUUGAGUACAGAAGAGGAAAGCGGAAUUCCACGUGUAGCGGUGAAAUGCGUAGAGAUGUGGAGGAACACCAGUGGCGAAGGCGGCUUUCUGGUCUGUAACUGACGCUGAGGCGCGAAAGCGUGGGGAGC
rnacentral:rRNA from 1 species